rfam:Gossypium raimondii Chr03_contig_198, whole genome shotgun sequence.
CAUGUCAGCGCGCUUUGCUGACGUGGCAACAAAUCGCGUCCACGAGGGGGCGAUUUGUUGCCACAUCAGCAAAGCGCGUUGACGUGG